rnacentral:rRNA from 1 species
AAAUUGAAGAGUUUGAUCAUGGCUCAGAUUGAACGCUGGCGGCAGGCCUAACACAUGCAAGUCGAGCGGUAGCACAGAGAGCUUGCUCUCGGGUGACGAGCGGCGGACGGGUGAGUAAUGUCUGGGAAACUGCCUGAUGGAGGGGGAUAACUACUGGAAACGGUAGCUAAUACCGCAUAAUGUCGCAAGACCAAAGUGGGGGACCUUCGGGCCUCAUGCCAUCAGAUGUGCCCAGAUGGGAUUAGCUAGUAGGUGNGGUAACGGCUCACCUAGGCGACGAUCCCUAGCUGGUCUGAGAGGAUGACCAGCCACACUGGAACUGAGACACGGUCCAGACUCCUACGGGAGGCAGCAGUGGGGAAUAUUGCACAAUGGGCGCAAGCCUGAUGCAGCCAUGCCGCGUGUAUGAAGAAGGCCUUCGGGUUGUAAAGUACUUUCAGCGGGGAGGAAGGCGNNNNNNNNNNNNNNNNNNNNNNNGACGUUACCCGCAGAAGAAGCACCGGCUAACUCCGUGCCAGCAGCCGCGGUAAUACGGAGGGUGCAAGCGUUAAUCGGAAUUACUGGGCGUAAAGCGCACGCAGGCGGUCUGUCAAGUCGGAUGUGAAAUCCCCGGGCUCAACCUGGGAACUGCAUUCGAAACUGGCAGGCUAGAGUCUUGUAGAGGGGGGUAGAAUUCCAGGUGUAGCGGUGAAAUGCGUAGAGAUCUGGAGGAAUACCGGUGGCGAAGGCGGCCCCCUGGACAAAGACUGACGCUCAGGUGCGAAAGCGUGGGGAGCAAACAGGAUUAGAUACCCUGGUAGUCCACGCCGUAAACGAUGUCGAUUUGGAGGUUGUGCCCUUGAGGCGUGGCUUCCGGAGCUAACGCGUUAAAUCGACCGCCUGGGGAGUACGGCCGCAAGGUUAAAACUCAAAUGAAUUGACGGGGGCCCGCACAAGCGGUGGAGCAUGUGGUUUAAUUCGAUGCAACGCGAAGAACCUUACCUGGUCUUGACAUCCACAGAACUUUCCAGAGAUGGAUUGGUGCCUUCGGGAACUGUGAGACAGGUGCUGCAUGGCUGUCGUCAGCUCGUGUUGUGAAAUGUUGGGUUAAGUCCCGCAACGAGCGCAACCCUUAUCCUUUGUUGCCAGCGGUCCGGCCGGGAACUCAAAGGAGACUGCCAGUGAUAAACUGGAGGAAGGUGGGGAUGACGUCAAGUCAUCAUGGCCCUUACGACCAGGGCUACACACGUGCUACAAUGGCAUAUACAAAGAGAAGCGACCUCGCGAGAGCAAGCGGACCUCAUAAAGUAUGUCGUAGUCCGGAUUGGAGUCUGCAACUCGACUCCAUGAAGUCGGAAUCGCUAGUAAUCGUAGAUCAGAAUGCUACGGUGAAUACGUUCCCGGGCCUUGUACACACCGCCCGUCACACCAUGGGAGUGGGUUGCAAAAGAAGUAGGUAGCUUAACCUUCGGGAGGGCGCUUACCACUUUGUGAUUCAUGACUGGGGUGAAGUCGUAACAAGGUAACCGUAGGGGAACCUGCGGUUGGAUCACCUCCUUA